GCUGGCUAUAUGUAAAAAAAAAACAGUAAAAGUUGAUUUAUUUGAACCUACACGAAGCAAUACAAACCAAAGUCUUGUGUUCAAAUCACACCAAUGUUAUCUCGCUCACGAAAGAAGAUGCCUUGAGUGACAGCCGCCGAUGCAGCUUUGGAUUAAAAACGUUAAAUUAAUCAAACAUACAAGAAGGAAGAUAUAAUAACUCCAAAACGACAUCUACAAAGUUCGUAACCGCACAGCUGACCUGCCUAACCGAACCGAAAAGAUACAAGGACGAAACAAAAGCUGAAGAACGAAGAUGGAGCCAUAGCAUACCCAGACUAAGAUUUAUUCUUAGUCGAUGUAAAUACUAACUUAUGUGAGCUGUAGCAUAAAAUGUCCCUUAUACUUAUUGAAUGCUUGUUUAAAAUUGGAUUGUUUAUAUGUGGUACACUGUGUGUGGGGUGGGGAAGUAUACGGAGAUCAAAAUAUUAAAGUCCACCUUUGUACACGUUAGUAAUGUAACGUGGUUGGGAUUCUCGGGUUUUAUUUCUCCAUGUUUGUGUGUGUAAACAACCUGCAUAAGAACGGUGCGCGCAGGUCAGAUUUCUCUAACUUUAACCCAUACUCCUGGUGUCACUUAUCAGCAAGGCCGGACAGUCGGCAUCAGAUAGAUAGAAGUGACAUCGCUAUAACUAAGGAUCGCUGUUAGGAAGUUUUAGUUAGACAGAACUGGGACACUGCACCAGGCCGACACAACACGUGUCAUUGCACCCAGGCCUAUACAGCAGACCGUCCUGGUUUGCGAAAACCUUCUUACACGCCGGUUGGUUAAAAGUCCGGUCAGCGAAAGCUGGUGGGUUCCAACUGCAAAACAACUAGGCGCCAAACCCGCGACCAGGGUAGGGAUAAAAAAUUACUAGAAAUGUCAGCCCCCUGUUAGGCCCCCUAAAAAACACUAACCAAUGAACUUUUUUUCAGGUGUCAGUUAAUGUUGUCAUUCUUUUUUUGAAUCGACAACAAGCGCGAAUAUGCGACGCAAACUCGACGUUGUAGCGGCGGAUAAAGGGAUUCCGAAGAUCACUCGGUUCGAUCAAUCUUGCGUUAAAGCAAGAUAUAGUUAGCUCCCAAAUCCGUUCUUAUGCAGUUUCCCCACUUCAUAAACAACUAGUUAUUGCGACGCGACGGUUGGCGGCGGUGAAAUAAAAGGCGGUUCUAAAUAUUUAUUAUUGUAUUGGCCCAUAGAGAAUGCUGUGUUGCUGUGCUUAUUGUAUGGGGUGGGGUAUGGUGGUGUUGGGGGAUUGUGGUGUUUAUUGUAUGUAUUGACACACACUUACACGACACGAAGUAAACUCCUAUAUUCUGAUGAAUCCAUGGUGUGGACAUUUAAAAUCUUUCGGGAUUUAUUACGUCACAAUGACAAUAUUACUGGAUUUCAAUAUAGGUUGCUUAAAGUUUCGCAGUCACGAAAAAUAUGGGUUACUUGUGUAUUUAGUAAGACGGGGAAGAUGAGAUACCUUUAGCAC